rnacentral:rRNA from 1 species
GKRKRAAAGAACUAAMAGGGAUUCCCCUAGUAACUGCGAGUGAAGCGGGAAAAGCUCAAAUUUAAAAUCUGGCASCUUUGGCUGUCCGAGUUGUAGUCUGGAGAAGUGCUUUCCGCGCUGGACCGUGUACAAGUCUCUUGGAAUAGAGCGUCAUAGAGGGGUGGAGAAUCCCGUCUUUGACACGGACUACCAGUGCUUUGUGAUGCGCUCUCAAAGAGUCGAGUUGUUUGGGAAUGCAGCUCAAAAUGGGUGGUGAAUUCCAUCUAAAGCUAAAUAUUGGCGAGAGACCGAUAGCGAACAAGUACCGUGAGGGAAAGAUGAAAAGCACUUUGGAAAGAGAGUUAAACAGUACGUGAAAUUGCUGAAAGGGAAACGCUUGAAGUCAGUCGCGUUGUCCAGAACUCAGCCAUGCUUUUGCUUGGUGCAUUUUCUGGAUAACGGGCCAGCAUCGAUUUUGACCGUCGGAAAAGGGCUAGAGUAAUGUGGCACCUUCGGGUGUGUUAUAGACUUUAGUCGCAUACGGCGGUUGGGAUCGAGGACCGCAGCGCGCCGUAAGGCAGGGGUUUACCCACUUUCGCGCUUAGGAUGCUGGCAUAAUGGCUUUAAACGACCCGUCUUGAAACACGGACCAAGGAGUCUAACAUGCCUGCGAGUGUUUGGGUGGUAAACCCGAGYGCGUAAUGAAAGUGAAAGUUGAGACCUCUGUCGUGGAGGGCAUCGACGCCCGGACCUGACGUUCUCUGAAGGAUCCGCGGUAGAAGCAUGUUAUGUUGGGGACCCGAAAGAUGGUGAACUAUGCCUGAAUAGGGUGAAGCCAGAGGAAACUCUGGUGGAGGCUCGUAGCGAUUCUGACGUGCAAAUCGAUCGUCAAAUUUGGGUAUAGGGGCGAAAGACUAAUCGAACCCMUC